AUUGAACGCUGGCGGCAUGCCUUACACAUGCAAGUCGAACGGUAACAGGUUAAGCUGACGAGUGGCGAACGGGUGAGUAAUGUAUCGGAACGUGCCCAGUCGUGUGGGAUAACUGCUCGAAAGAGCAGCUAAUACCGCAUACGACCUGAGGGUGAAAGCGGGGGAUCGCAAGACCUCGCGCGAUUGGAGCGUCCGAUAUCAGAUUAGGUAGUUGGUGAGGUAAAGGCUCACCAAGCCGACGAUCUGUAGCUGGUCUGAGAGGACGACCAGCCACACUGGGACUGAGACACGGCCCAGACUCCUACGGGAGGCAGCAGUGGGGAAUUUUGGACAAUGGGCGCAAGCCUGAUCCAGCCAUGCCGCGUGCGGGAAGAAGGCCUUCGGGUUGUAAACCGCUUUUGUCAGGGAAGAAAAGGUUCUGGCUAAUACCUGGGACUCAUGACGGUACCUGAAGAAUAAGCACCGGCUAACUACGUG
rnacentral:rRNA from 1 species